GUAACGAUAGCUUAAAUGAAAGUAUUGGUCUUGUAAGCCAAUGAUGAACUAUACGUUCUCGUUGCU
rnacentral:tRNA from 1 species